AUACUUACCUGGGCGGGGUUUACGAGUUAUCAGAAAGGCUCGUAGCCUAGGCAGGCGGCCCACAUUGCACGUCGUGGGUGCGCCGGCCUAACAUCUCCCCGAGUGGGAGAGUGUACGUCAUAAUUUGUGUCAGGGGANUGAACUACUAAAAUUCAGUACUUAAUCCA